UAGGGAAUAUUGGGCAAUGGGCGAAAGCCUGACCCAGCAACGCCGCGUGUACGAUGAAGGCCUUCGGGUCGUAAAGUACUUUUCUGGGAGAUGAGAAAGGACAGUAUCCCAGGAAUAAGCUUCGGCUAACUACGUGCCAGCAGCCGCGGUAAAACGUAGGAAGCGAGCGUUAUCCGGAUUUACUGGGCGUAAAGCGCGUGUAGGCGGUUUGGCAAGUUGGAUGUGAAAUCUCCUGGCUCAACUGGGAGGGGUCGUUCAAAACUGCCAGACUAGAGGACAGUAGAGGAAGGUGGAAUUCCCGGUGUAGUGGUGAAAUGCGUAGAUAUCGGGAGGAACACCAGUGGCGAAAGCGGCCUUCUGGACUGUAUCUGACGCUCAGACGCGAAAGCUAGGGGAGCGAACGGG
rnacentral:rRNA from 1 species